UGUAGGUGGAAGCGGCGGUGGAGGAGGAGGAUGAGGUAGCCAACACUGUUUUUAUAUAUAUAUAUAUAUAUAUAUAUAUUUUAAUUGGGGUAGCCCCCAAAAUAUUGGGACAUAAAAAAAACAACUCUGUUCCGCAGAGUAGCUGUUGACAUUAUAGUUUCACAGGCACUUUGUUGACUCUAGAGAACCUCGGGCCAAUCGCACAUCCCCGUGAUGGCGACUUUGCAUUUGGAUGUCAUCCAUAUCAACUUUCGAUGCCAGUUUCUGCGCCUACCACGGUGACCACGGGUAACGGGGAAUAAGGGUUCCAUUCCGUACAGGGACCCUGAGAAACGGCUACCACAUGCAAGGAAGGCAGCA